CAGUCGCCGCGGUAAUACGGAGGGAGCUAGCGUUGUUCGGAAUUACUGGGCGUAAAGCGCGCGUAGGCGGUUACUCAAGUCAGAGGUGAAAGCCCGGGGCUCAACCCCGGAACUGCCUUUGAAACUAGGUGACUAGAAUCUUGAGAGGUCAGUGGAAUUCCGAGUGUAGAGGUGAAAUUCGUAGAUAUUCGGAAGAACACCAGUGGCGAAGGCGACUGACUGGACAAGUAUUGACGCUGAGGUGCGAAAGCGUGGGGAGCAAACAGGAUUAGAUACCCCAGUAGUCCCUGUCUCUUAUACA
rnacentral:rRNA from 1 species